GACGAACGCUGGCGGCGUGCUUAACACAUGCAAGUCGAACGGAAAGGCCCUGCUUUUGUGGGGUGCUCGAGUGGCGAACGGGUGAGUAACACGUGAGUAACCUGCCCUUGACUUUGGGAUAACUUCAGGAAACUGGGGCUAAUACCGGAUAGGAGCUCCUGCUGCAUGGUGGGGGUUGGAAAGUUUCGGCGGUUGGGGAUGGACUCGCGGCUUAUCAGCUUGUUGGUGGGGUAGUGGCUUACCAAGGCUUUGACGGGUAGCCGGCCUGAGAGGGUGACCGGCCACAUGGGGACUGCGAGACGGCCCAGACUGCUACGGGAGGCAGCAGGGGGGAAUAUUGCACAAUGGGCGGAAGCCUGAUGCAGCAACCCCGCGUGCGGGAUGACGGCCUUCGGGUUGUAAACCGCUUUCGCCUGUGACGAAGCGUGAGUGACGGUAAUGGGUAAAGAAGCACCGGCUAACUACGUG
rnacentral:rRNA from 1 species